AUACGGAGGAUCCGAGCGUUAUCCGGAUUUAUUGGGUUUAAAGGGUGCGCAGGCGGCCAUUUAAGUCAGCGGUUAAAUCGUGGGGCUCAACCCCAUUCUGCCGUUGAUACUGGGUGGCUUGAUUGCGGUCGAGGUUGGCGGAAUUCGUUGUGUAGCGGUGAAAUGCAUAGAUAUGACGAAGAACACCGAUUGCGUAGGCAGCUGACCAGACCGCAAAUGACGCUCAGGCACGAAAGUGCGGGGAUCGAACAGGAUUAGAUACCCUGGUAGUCCGGACAGUAAACGAUGAAUACUUGUUUUCGGCGAUAUAAUGUCGGAGGCAAAGCGAAAGCGAUAAGUAUUCCACCUGGGGAGUUCGCCGUGAACGGUGAAACUCAAAUUAAAUUACGGGG
rnacentral:rRNA from 1 species